UCCUGGUUAGUACAAUGGUCAGUAUAGGACACUCUCACCGGCAGCUUCCCCGGAAGUCGCUCGUGCUGUUCAGAUCGGGGUUCGAUUCCCCGGCCGGGAA
rnacentral:tRNA from 1 species